rnacentral:rRNA from 1 species
AACGCUGGCGGCGUGCCUAAUACAUGCAGGUCGAACGGUCUUUCUAUGGAAGCUUGCUUCCACUGAGAAGAUAGUGGCGGACGGGUGAGUAACACGUGGGUAACCUGCCCAUAAGAGGGGGGAUAACAUCCGGAAACGGGUGCUAAUACCGCAUAGUUUUCUUAAUCGCAUGAUUGAGAAAGGAAAGACGGCCUUUGUGCUGUCGCUUAUGGAUGGACCCGCGGCGUAUUAGUUAGUUGGUGAGGUAACGGCUCACCAAGACGAUGAUACGUAGCCGACCUGAGAGGGUGAUCGGCCACAUUGGGACUGAGACACGGCCCAAACUCCUACGGGAGGCAGCAGUAGGGAAUCUUCCGCAAUGGACGAAAGUCUGACGGAGCAACGCCGCGUGAGUGAAAGAAGGUUUUCGGAUCGUAAAACUCUGUUGUCAGAGAAGAACAAGUCGGAGAGUAACUGCUCCGGCCUUGACGGUAUCUGACCAGAAAGCCACGGCUAACUACGUGCCAGCCGCCGC